CCCUUAGACGUUCUGGGCCGCACGCGCGCUACACAGACGGAGCCAGCGAGUAUAAACCUUGGCCGAGAGGUCUGGGAAAUCUUGUGAAACUCCGUCGUGCUGGGGAUAGAGCAUUGUAAUUAUUGCUCUUCAACGAGGAAUUCCUAGUAAGCGCAAGUCAUCAGCUUGCGUUGAUUACGUCCCUGCCCUUUGUACACACCGCCCGUCGCUACUACCGAUUGAAUGGCUUAGUGAGGCUUCCGGAUUGGUUUAGAGAAGGGGGCAACUCCAUCUUGGAACCGAGAAGCUAGUCAAACUUGGUCAUUUAGAGGAAGUAAAAGUCGUAACA
rnacentral:rRNA from 1 species